UACGUAGGGUGCAAGCGUUAAUCGGAAUUAUUGGGCGUAAAGGGCUCGUAGGCGGUUUGUCGCGUCGGGAGUGAAAACCUUGGGCUUAACUCAGGGCUUGCUUUCGAUACGGGCAGACUAGAGGUAUGCAGGGGAGAACGGAAUUCCUGGUGUAGCGGUGAAAUGCGCAGAUAUCAGGAGGAACACCGAUGGCGAAGGCACUUUACUGGGCUAUUACUAACACUCAGAGACGAAAGCUAGGGUAGCAAAUGGG
rnacentral:rRNA from 1 species